rnacentral:rRNA from 1 species
GACGAACGCUGGCGGCGUGCCUAAUACAUGCAAGUCGAACGGUCUUUUCUAUGGAAGCUUGCUUCCACUGAGAAGAUAGUGGCGAACGGGUGAGUAACACGUGGGUAACCUGCCCAUAAGAGGGGGAUAACAUCCGGAAACGGGUGCUAAUACCGCAUAGUUUUCUUGAUCGCAUGAUCGAGAAAGGAAAGACGGCCUUUGUGCUGUCACUUAUGGAUGGACCCGCGGCGUAUUAGUUAGUUGGUGAGGUAACGGCUCACCAAGACGAUGAUACGUAGCCGACCUGAGAGGGUGAUCGGCCACAUUGGGACUGAGACACGGCCAAAACUCCUACGGGAGGCAGCAGUAGGGAAUCUUCCGCAAUGGACGAAAGUCUGACGGAGCAACGCCGCGUGAGUGAAGAAGGUUUUCGGAUCGUAAAACUCUGUUGUCAGAGAAGAACAAGUCGGAGAGUAACUGCUCCGGCCUUGACGGUAUCUGACCAGAAAGCCACGGCUAACUACGUGCCAGCCGCCGCCGUAAUAC